UCAGGGUGCAAGUUUAAGGUUUGCAUUUUAUUAUCUGGUAUCUUCAAUCUCUACAGAACCCGCCAGGUUUAAAAAAACACAAGGAAGGCCACUGAAGGAGGAAUUACAGGUGCAAGUUUAAGGUUUGCUUUUUAUUAUCUGGUAUCUUCAAUCUCUACAGAACCCGCCAGGUAAAAAAAACACAAGGAAGGCCAUUGAAGGAGGAAUUACAGUUCUCUUUGUAAACUCUUUACCCUUUCUUCCAUAUUUUUCUUGCACGAUGAGGUGGAAUAGUUACAAGCUAUCAGAAUGUAUCUCUUCAAGAGGUGGAAACAUUCUCAAUUAUGAUAUUUUUGUAUCUGAGCACAAGAAUGUAUAGAAGGAAGAAAGAUGAUAGCACCUACCUUUCAUUUUUUUCUGUUCUAUAGAGAAUUCAACUCGGACAUAUAAUUGCUUGUACACUUGCUGUUCGGCUUGUAGUUUUGCUUGUUUCCUUUUUCUAGAGAUGUUAGUCUUGUUUUUGUUUUUUCAGUUUUUGGUUAUUUGUCAACCUUAUUGAUGGGUUGCAAGAUUUACUUUUCUUUUUUUUUUUUAUCAGCUCAGUAGUGGCAAGGAGAGUAAACUAAUUUGUUUUCUUAGGUAAUUUGUAGUUUGCCUUUUGUUGGAACUUUAUUUUGGUUGGCAAUGUCAACCUAGCAAGUUACCAGUGCCACAGGUAAUGAAGCCAUCCAUUUGUUACAAAAUAAAAUGGGUAUAUUUGAUGUUCU